AGAAUCAACGCUGGCGGCGUGCCUAACACACGCAAGUCGAACGAGAAAGUGGAGCAACCCAUGAGUAAAGUGGCGCACGGGUGAGUAACACGUGACUAACCUACCCUUGAGUGGGGAAUAACUUCGGGAAAACCGAGGCUAAUACCGCAUAACACCUACGGGUCAAAGGAGCAAUUCGCUUAAGGAGGGGGUCGCGGCAGAUUAGUUAGUUGGCAGGGUAAUGGCCUACCAAGACGGUGAUCUGUA
rnacentral:rRNA from 1 species